rnacentral:rRNA from 1 species
UACGAAGGGGGCAAGCGUUGCUCGGAAUCACUGGGCGUAAAGGGCGCGUAGGCGGACAUUUAAGUCAGAGGUGAAAGCCCGGGGCUCAACCCCGGAAUAGCCUUUGAUACUGGAUGUCUUGAGACCGGAAGAGGUAAGUGGAACUGCGAGUGUAGAGGUGAAAUUCGUAGAUAUUCGCAAGAACACCAGUGGCGAAGGCGGCUUACUGGUCCGGUUCUGACGCUGAGGCGCGAAAGCGUGGGGAGCAAACAGG